UACGGGGGGGGGCAAGCGUUGUUCGGAAUUACUGGGCGUAAAGGGCUCGUAGGCGGCCAACUAAGUCGGACGUGAAAUCCCUCGGCUCAACCGGGGAACUGCGUCCGAUACUGGAUGGCUCGAGUUCGGGAGAGGGAUGCGGAAUUCCAGGUGUAGCGGUGAAAUGCGCAGAUAUCAGGAGGAACACCAAUUGCGAAGGCAGUCGCUGGGACGUUACUGACGCUGAGACGCGAAAGCGUGGGGAGCAAACAGG
rnacentral:rRNA from 1 species